rnacentral:rRNA from 1 species
UUAAGCACCACUAAGACCCACUUCCGCCAGAAAAUUACGAGCGAAAGCCUAAAACUCAAAAGACUUGACGGUGUCCCAACCUUCCUAGAGGAGCCUGUUCCAUAAUCGACAACCCACGAUAUACCUAACCACCCUUAGAAAAUUUUAACCCCAGCCUAUAUACCGCCGUCAUUCAGCUUACCUUUUAAAAGAUUUAAGUAAGCUAAAUAGUAAUAUACUAACAAGUCAGGUCAAGGUGUAGCUUAUACGGUGGAGGAAAUGGGCUACAUUAUUUAUAUUAAAUUAUACGAACUUUAUACUUCUCCCUGAAAAAGAAAAUGAAGGUGGAUUUAGCAGUAAUUUAAACAAGAAUAUUUAAAUUAACACCAGCUCUGGGACAUGU